rnacentral:rRNA from 1 species
UAUUAGAGGCAUUGCCUGCCCAGUGACUAAAGUUAAACGGCCGCGGUAUCCUGACCGUGCAAAGGUAGCAUAAUCACUUGUUCCUUAAUUAGGGACUAGAAUGAAUGGCUAAACGAGGGUUCAACUGUCUCUUACUUUCAAUCAGUGAAAUUGACCUUCCAGUGAAGAGGCUGGAAUGCCACAAUAAGACGAGAAGACCCUAUGGAGCUUUAAUUUACUAGUUUAAUUUAUACAGAAAUAACCUAAUGGGCUAAAACAAAAUAAAUAUAAACUAAAAAUUUCGGUUGGGGUGACCUCGGAGAAUAAAAAAUCCUCCGAAUGAUUUUAACCUAGACCCACAAGUCAAAGUAAUACUAAUAUCUUAUUGACCCAAUCAUUGAUCAACGGACCAAGUUACCCUAGGGAUAACAGCGCAAUCCUAUUUAAGAGUUCAUAUCGACAAUUAGGGUUUACGACCUCGAUGUUGGAUCAGGACAUCCCAAUGGUGCAGAAGCUAUUAAUGGUUCGUUUGUUCAACGAUUAAAGUCCUACGUGAUCUGAGU